rnacentral:rRNA from 1 species
CUGGUUGAUCCUGCCAGUAGUCAUAUGCUUGUCUCAAAGAUUAAGCCAUGCAUGUCUGAGUACAGACCGAUCUAAGGUGAAACCGCGAAUGGCUCAUUAAAUCAGUCCUAAUUCCUUGGAUAGUGAAAAAACUUCCUCGGAUAACUGUGGAAAAUCCAGAGCUAAUACGUGCAACUGAGCUCCGACCUGGGCGCGAGCCUAGGGAAGAGCGCAAUUAUUAGAUUCAAAACUGACCGACGUACUCCUCCGGGAUGCGCCGCUUGUCAUACUUGAUGACUCCGGAUAAUUUAGCCGAGCGCUACGGUCUUCGUACCGGCGCCGUAUCUUUCAAGUGUCUGCCUUAUCAGCUUUCGAUUGUAGGUUAAACGCCUACAAUGGCUGUAACGGGUAACGGGGAAUCAGGGUUCGAUUCCGGAGAGGGAGCCUGAGAAACGGCUACCACAUCUAAGGAAGGCAGCAGGCACGCAAAUUACCCACUCCCAGCUCGGGGAGGUAGUGACGAAAAAUAACGAUGCGAGACUCUUCCGAGGCCUCGCAAUCGGAAUGAGUCCAUUCUAAAUCCUUGGACGAGGAUCCAUUGGAGGGCAAGUCUGGUGCCAGCAGCCGCGGUAAUUCCAGCUCCAAUAGCGUAUAUUAAAGUUGUUGCGGUUAAAAAGCUCGUAGUUGGAUCUCCUAGAUCCAACUCAUGGGCGGGUGUCUCGUUGUACGUGCGUUUUUGAGCAGUCGCUCGGAAGGUCGGAGUGCUUUUGCGUUACGUUCCGAAAGGAGUCUCGAAAAUCGUGUCUCUCGUCGCAUUUCGGUGCGUUCGGGGCGUCGCGUUCUCGUGUUCUUCCGCCAGUCGUUUCGUUUAGAGUCCCUUCUUGACGAGAAGGACGUCGAUUACGUGGUCUUCGGGUAUAAGCCCGUCCAAGUGUGGUACGAAUACAAAUUUUGUCGGCUCGCUCGGAGUGCUCUUUAUCGAGUGUUCCAGGGUGGCCGACACGUUCACUUUGAAAAAAUUAGAGUGCUUAAAGCGGGCUGAGAAAUCGCCUGAAUGUUGUUGCAUGGAAUGAAGGAACAGGACCUCGAUUCUGUUAUUUUUGUCGGUUUUAAUGAACCGAGGUAAUGAUUAAAAGGAACAGACGGUGGCAUCAGUAUUGCGACGCUAGAGGUGAAAUUCUUGGACCGUCGCAAGACUAACUACUGCGAAAGCAUUUGCCGAGAAUGUUUUCAUUAAUCAAGAACGAAAGUUAGAGGAUCGAAGGCGAUCAGAUACCGCCCUAGUUCUAACCCUAAACUAUGCUAACUAGCGAUCCGCCGGAGUCAUUCCCACGACUCGGCGGGAAGCCCCCAGGGAAACCAAAGUCUUUGAGUUCCGGGGGAAGUAUGGUUGCAAAGCUGAAACUUAAAGGAAUUGAGGAGGGCACCACCAGGAGUGGAACUGCGGCUUAAUUUGACUCAACACGGGAAACCUCACCAGGCCCGGACAUUAGAAGGAUUGACAGAUUGAGAGCUCUUUCUCGAUUUAAUGGGUGGUGGUGCAUGGCCGUUCUUAGUUGGUGGAGUGAUCUGUCUGGUUGAUUCCGAUAACGAACGAGACUCUACCCUACUAACUAGUCGGCGGAUCGUAACCCUGAGAUGGGAGGAAAUCGAGGGACUUGUUGUUCUCUGGCGUUUUCGGGGCUUUCGCUCUCUCGCGUUGAAGGUAGUUGGUAGUGUUCUUUCGGGAGUGCUUGCUUUCGCCCGGAUCGGGGGUUUGUGGAGUUUCGUGAGACGUCGGCGGGGCGCUUGUUUUUUUCGAUGACUCUUUACUAGGGGCGUCCGUCGCAAUGUAUCUUCUUAGAGGGAUCAGCGGCAUCUAGCCGUACGAGAAAGAGCAAUAACAGGUCUGUGAUGCCCUUAGAUGUUCUGGGCCGCACGCGCGCUACAAUGUAGGAACCAGCGUGUGUUUUCCCUCUCCGAAAGGAGCGGGUAACCCGUUGAAACUCCUACGCGCUUGGGAUUGGGGAUUGCAAAUGUUUCCCAUAAACGAGGAAUUCCCAGUAAGCGCGAAUCAUUAGUUCGCGCUGAUUAAGUCCCUGCCCUUUGUACACACCGCCCGUCGCUACUACCGAUUGAAUGAUUCAGUGAGGGCAUCGGACUGGCGCCUUCGGUUGAAACACACCUUAGGCUGACGGAAAGAUGUCCGAACUUGAUCAUUUAGAGGAAGUAAAAGUCGUAACAAGGUUCCGUAGUGAACCKGCGGAAGGA